GCACGGUUCAGUUCCCGCUAGCAGCUGUUCUAACUUUUUUUCUUUUUGAGCAGCAGCUGUUCGUAACUUCGUAUGUGACGGGCGUACCAUAGGUCCAUAUAGCCCAUAGCGCAGCAAGCCCAGCAAAACGUUCUUUCCUUAAUUUUCUAUACGUGGGCAAGGCCUGAAGCUAGCUCAACUGGGCAUAUAAGCAGCGACCUUUUUUUCCUUCGUCCACCGUCUCCUCCCAGAGCGAAACCCUAUCUAUCUGAUCUCGUUUUCUUUCGCUCGUGUGGCGGCGGCGAUAGAUCGGAGGAAACCAAGCGCGACGACGGCGGCAGGAGUAGCUGCUCUCCGCCCUCUCCCGUAGGGUACCUUGAGGGCCCCCUUCCGCGGAAGCUGCCAGUGGCGUCGGGGCUCUCCAUGGCGCGCAGCGGUGGACCCAGCGUGCGCCGCGGCCGGACCAGCCUGGUCGCGCGGCGGUGGCCCGACCUGUGUGCGUGACGUGAGUUCUCAGUGUGAGUGCCUGCAUCCGUGCGUCUCCGAUCCAUCUCGUGUGAUUGAAAGGACUGAACUCUCACUCGGUGGUUCCACUCGUCCAUACACUUCUCAAUUCCAUCGGAGCAAAUGAGGGAGAGGAGGAGUCAUGGUGAUGUGGGUACUGGCAUGGCUUCCUUGAGCGGAACACCGGAUUAGCCUAUGACACCCACCUCAUCUCCUUCGUCAGGGACUACCGCCACAGAAUCGACAUGGAUCACAGACCACAGGGGCAAGGGGGAGUUCCGCAGGUGGACCGUGAAGCUCGACCAGCAACCUAUGUUAACUAACAUCUGUACAACGCUAAACUCUCUGCUCCCAGUUUAGAUGAACCACUUCGUGCGGAGAUUGUUUCAGAUAUCAGUUUUGUUAUGUUACUCCAUGUUAGUGAUUUCUUAUUGGUCAAUCGUGAGAUGCUUACAUAGUACUCCCCCAGUAUUUGCUAGGUUAGAUAGUAUGGAAGCUAGUUUAUACAUGUUACUAAGUUGAAAAUUGUAAACUGAAUUGUACCUGUUCCGAUUUAUCUUUUAGAUAAAUUAUUAUGAGAACCUAGAUAGUACAUGUGAAAUGAGUUAGUAAUUAAAUAGUUAGCUGCAGUAAAAUAUUUUCAUUAUGCUGAUGCUCCCACAGUGUUGUUGUUAUUGUUGAGGGAGUGAAUAGAUUCGCAAGUGAAUUGCUGUUGAACUGCAGUGGGACUUUUAUGAGAAAUUCGACAUGAUUUUGGCAAAUUACUAAUGGAGAACUAACUUACUAAACUCAUUUGUGGAAAUCUGAAGUGUUACUGACUAUAUGUUAAUGCAGAUUACUAUCCAAGCAAGCAGAUACUACAACUAAAGAUCAAAGUCUAGACGCGCUUUUUAUUCGGCCUAUGACCAUAGCAUAAUUGCUAAUUCAGAAGUCAUUUUUCAAGAAGUUGAUAUGGACAAAGGAAGAUCAGAACAACUCUAGUCGCCUUCAAGAAGAGAAGAGGCAUCCAACAAAGGCUCCAAGUUUUGAUGAAGGUGUGAGCUAAGAGUCACACCAACAAGGUCUCUAUUGAUGUCACCCAAAAUUAAAAGAUGUUGUAUUGGAUGAUUAUGGAGCUUGGGUUAUUUUGGAUGGGGCAUGUAAGUGUGAUGUGUAAUAUGCAUGCUAUUUAGAGACCCUGGCUUGUAAUGUGCUGUGAAAAAUGGUCAAUGGAAAGAUGGGCUUAAAAAUACCACAACCCCACAAUACAUUUUGAACCAGACCAAACAAAAAUAAAAAUAGAGGAAAAAAUUACAAAUAAAAUAGUUCUUAAAAAGGCUAGUAGGAAAUGACAACGUCUCCAUAAAAAUGGGUGGGCUCGAUUAGCCACUAUUGGGUUGCAAAUUGGCUAUGGCCCAUCAAAAAAUUAGAUACACAAA